GACGAACGCUGGAGGCGUGCUUAACACAUGCAAGUCGAACGAUGAAAUGGAGCUUGCUCCAUGGAUUAGUGGCGAACGGGUGAGUAACACGUGAAUAACCUGCCCUUAAUUUUGGAAUAACCCAGGGAAACCUGGGCUAAUACCGGAUAAGUAAACCUGUGGCAUCACAUGGUUUUGGAAAGUUUUUCGAUUAAGGAUGGAUUCGCGGCCUAUCAGCUUGUUGGUGAGGUAAUGGCUAACCAAGGCGACGACGGGUAGCCGGCCUGAGAGGGUGAACGGCCACACUGGGACUGAGACACGGCCCAGACUCCUACGGGAGGCAGCAGUGGGGAAUAUUGCGCAAUGGACGAAAGUCUGACGCAGCGACGCCUCGUGAGGGACGAAGGUCUUCGGAUUGUAAACCUCUUUCAGCAGGGACGAAGCGAAAGUGACGGUACCUGCAGAAGAAGCACCGGCUAACUAUGUGCCAGCCGCCGCCGUAA
rnacentral:rRNA from 1 species